ACGCGCACGGGCACGCGCAGCUCGGUUCUCCAGCGUCUGCGGGAGUCCUCGGCGGCAAGGCUUCACGGCAGAUCCCGAGAAGGGUCUCCCGCGGGGGCUUCGAGCCGCCGAGCGGGGAGUGGCGGGCAAGGAGUGGCUGCGACCCACUCCGAGGCCAUAACAAGGCGUUUGCAGGCGAAAAGCCAUCUGCCUCUUAAUUUUUGGAUCUCGUUUCAGAAUUUUUUUCUAAAGGACUUAGAAAUUACUGUCGGCUUGUCACCUAAGCGUAAACUUCCUCCCUGGAGAUCGGCCUUCUGAGUUUUACAGCGUCUACUUGGUUUCUCGGUACAUUUUAUGGACCCCACCCCCUUCCUGCCUAUUGCAGACCACAGCAGUUGAAAUGAGCGAGAUGGGAACGGCACCCACCGGGCCCGGAGAAUCCCAUCCAGGACACCGCAUUACAGUUAGUCAUCAUGUCUCCUUAGCCUCCUCUUGCUAUGACUUCCCUUGUUUUUGAUGACCUUGACAGUUCUGAAGAUUACGGUCAGCCCUGCUCUUAUUAAGCCCACGUUACACGGAUUCCUGCGUCAGUCUGGUGUGAUGGCAUCAAGCUGAGAACCCUCUCAACAGAAUCAUGUUAUUUCAAGUACAGCCUCUGCACGAGGAAACAUAACUUCACUUCGUUUCAUUGAAUAAUCAAAGGAGCAAUGUGUUCAUUCAUGUGGUAUGCCCAAGCCAAUUCAGCAGCCACUAUGUUCAACUGAGAAAUGGUGUCUUUUGGGGAGACCAAAAAACCCUUUCUGAUUAAUUUAGAAGUACUUGCCUGUCUCAUUGGGGAUUUGUGGGAAUCAGUUUCUACACGUGCUUUCACAUUCCCUUCUCCACCAGGCCCAAUCCCAGAUUCUUUUCUGCAUAUCGUGCAGUACGCUCUUUUUGAUUAUCUACCUUCCUGACCCAGUGUACGUGUUAUUCCAGCUGUCAUUAAAGUAACACAGUCGUUUAGUGUAAAUGACCACGAUGUCUGGUUCAUACUGGCAUUGGUAUCGUAGUCAUUCUCAUUUUCGUUAUCUGAACUCUUAAAAAACAUGGUCACAAUAUUCACCAUGUUAAAAAUUAAACCAGCACUGUCUCAACACAAAACACAACAGUUAAUCCACAGGCAAAACGAAUGUUCCUGCUCCAGAUGAGAGUGCACUUAAGUUGCGUCAUAGGAGUGGUGUAAUAAUAGAUGACCCAUUACUGUAUCGUGAACUGUAAGUCAUGGUCGUCGUCCUCAGCAACAGAGACUAGGGACAGUGCUGUGUCCAUUUGGCACUAAAACCAGUAUUGCUUUCAGCCCCUGUUUUUGGGGUCACAUUUGUGUUUUGUACAUUUCCCCUAACCUUCUGUAUCCAUCACUGAAAACUGGGAGUUUUCUCAUCUCGGAAGAUUUUACCAGAUGUAGGACUUUUAGUGCUAAAAUCAGGUCAGUCCCAGACAAGCUAGGAUUGUCGAUCUUCCUAGCACAUGCUUGUAGAAUCAUGAAAUAAUAAGUCUCAAGAUAAAUACUGCAUGAUCUCACAUAUAUGUCAAAUCUAAAAAAACUGAAUUCAUAGAUUAAGAGAGCAGAUUGGUGGU